UGGGGAAUAUUGCGCAAUGGACGAAAGUCUGACGCAGCGACGCCGCGUGUGGGAUGACGGUCUUCGGAUUGUAAACCACUGUCGGGAGGGACGAAUACGCCGCAAGGCGGGUGACGGUACCUCCAAAGGAAGCACCGGCUAACUCCGUGCCAGCAGCCGCGGUAAUACGGAGGGUGCGAGCGUUGUCCGGAAUCACUGGGCGUAAAGGGCGCGUAGGCGGCCUGAUAAGUAGGGGGUGAAAUCUUGCGGCUUAACCGCAAGGCUGCCUUCUAAACUGUCGGGCUCGAGCACAGUAGAGGCAGGUGGAAUUCCCGGUGUAGCGGUGGAAUGCGUAGAGAUCGGGAAGAACAUCAGUGGCGAAGGCGGCCUGCUGGGCUGUUGCUGACGCUGAGGCGCGACAGCGUGGGGAGCAAACAGG
rnacentral:rRNA from 2 species